CAGUAGAACUGACAAUCUACCAUUGCGAAAUUCACAGGCAGCACUUUCAUGGUACAUAUUUCCUGAUGUUUUUAAUAAAGCUGAUGUUGGAAAAGUAAAUGCUAUGUAUUCCCUGCAACAAUUUCAAGUUAGUAGCUACAUUUUUAUGGUGGCAGACAUUUCCUUUAAAUGUGAAAUGACGCCAAUUUCUGUUUCACAGAAACAUGGAUAUGAUAACCACUAUAGCAUCUAUCAUAUGAAAAGUUUUGGCUCAACGUGUCUUCCCAUAGCACAGCUGGUAUUCGUGGGCUGGUUGCUUCUGCCCUCGUUCCUGGUGUAGUUACUGGAAUUGGAAUUUUUCACGGGAGAUGGUUAGUGCGAGCUAUGGCUUCAUUCAAUUGGAAUGAUACAGCAUACAGCAGUAAAAACAUGAGUCGUUAGUGUGCCUACCAAUGCCCAUUUUCCUGGUUUCAGUGGUGACUCAUCAAAGAUAUGAACUUUCCUGCAGUGUAUGUGAAAUCAUUGCUAUCUCAGGGGUAAUUGCAUUGGCCCUUGAAAUACAGAUGCUGAAGCAGAUGAGAAAAUAACCUUGACAUCCAGUGGCUUAUAAUAUGCGGUAUCCUCG